UACGAAGGGUGCAAACGUUGCUCGGAAUUAUUGGGCGUAAAGCGCACGUAGGCGGCUUAGCAAGUCGGAAGUGAAAGCCCUCGGCUCAACCAAGGAAGUGCUUUCGAAACUGCUGAGCUUGAGUACUUAAGAGGAUCGCGGAAUUCCCGGUGUAGAGGUGAAAAUUCGUAGAUAUCGGGAGGAACACCAGUGGCGAAAGCGGCUUCCUGGACCAGAACUGACGAUCAGGCACGAAAGCGUGGGGAGCAAACAGG
rnacentral:rRNA from 1 species